AACGAACGCUGGCGGCAUGCCUAACACAUGCAAGUCGAACGAGACCUUCGGGUCUAGUGGCGCACGGGUGCGUAACGCGUGGGAACCUGCCCUUAGGUUCGGAAUAACUCCCCGAAAGGGGUGCUAAUACCGGAUAAUGUCUUCGGACCAAAGAUUUAUCGCCUUUGGAUGGGCCCGCGUUGGAUUAGCUAGUUGGUAGGGUAAAAGCCUACCAAGGCGACGAUCCAUAGCUGGUCUGAGAGGAUGAUCAGCCACACUGGGACUGAGACACGGCCCAGACUCCUACGGGAGGCAGCAGUGGGGAAUAUUGGACGAGGGGCGAAAGCCUGAUCCAGCAAUGCCGCGUGAGUGAGCAAGGCCUUAGGGUUGUAAAGCUCUUUUACCCGGGAUGAUAAUGACAGUACCGGGAGAAUAAGCUCCGGCUAACUCCGUG
rnacentral:rRNA from 1 species